rnacentral:rRNA from 1 species
UGGGGAAUCUUCCGCAAUGGGCGAAAGCCUGACGGAGCAACGCCGCGUGAGUGAUGACGGCCUUCGGGUUGUAAAACUCUGUGACCCGGGACGAAAAGGCAGAGUGCGAAGAACAAACUGCAUUGACGGUACCGGAAAAGCAAGCCACGGCUAACUACGUGCCAGCAGCCGCGGUAAUACGUAGGUGGCAAGCGUUGUCCGGAAUUAUUGGGCGUAAAGCGCGCGCAGGCGGCUUCCCAAGUCCCUCUUAAAAGUGCGGGGCUUAACCCCGUGAUGGGAAGGAAACUGGGAAGCUGGAGUAUCGGAGAGGAAAGUGGAAUUCCUAGUGUAGCGGUGAAAUGCGUAGAGAUUAGGAAGAACACCGGUGGCGAAGGCGACUUUCUGGACGAAAACUGACGCUGAGGCGCGAAAGCGUGGGGAGCAAACAGGAUUAGAUACCCUGGUAGUCCACGCCGUAAACGAUGGAUACUAGGUGUAGGAGGUAUCGACCCCUUCUGUGCCGGAGUUAACGCAAUAAGUAUCCCGCCUGGGAAGUACGAUCGCAAGAUUA